rnacentral:rRNA from 1 species
UGGGGAAUAUUGCGCAAUGGGGGCAACCCUGACGCAGCAACGCCGCGUGAUUGAAGAAGGCCUUCGGGUUGUAAAGAUCUUUAAUCAGGGACGAAACAUGACGGUACCUGAAGAAUAAGCUCCGGCUAACUACGUGCCAGCAGCCGCGGUAAUACGUAGGGAGCAAGCGUUAUCCGGAUUUACUGGGUGUAAAGGGCGCGCAGGCGGGCCGGCAAGUUGGGAGUGAAAUCCGGGGGCUUAACCCCCGAACUGCUUUCAAAACUGCUGGUCUUGAGUGUUGGAGAGGCAGGCGGAAUUCCGUGUGUAGCGGUGAAAUGCGUAGAUAUACGGAGGAACACCAGUGGCGAAGGCGGCCUGCUGGACAUUAACUGACGCUGAGGCGCGAAAGCGUGGGGAGCAAACA